CCUACGGGUGGCAGCAGUGGGGAAUAUUGCACAAUGGGGGAAACCCUGAUGCAGCGACGCCGCGUGAGCGAUGACGUAUUUCGGUAUGUAAAGCUCUAUCAGCAGGGAAGAAAAUCACGUUACCUGUCUAAGAAUCCCCGGCUAACUCCGUGCCAGCAGCCGUGGUAAUACGUAGGGGGCCAGCGUUAUCCGGAUUUACCGGGUGUAAAGGGAGCGUAGACGGCGAUGCAAGCCUGAUGUGAAAGCCCGGGGCUCAACCCCGGGACUGCAUUGGGAACUGGAUAGCUGGAGUGUCGGGGAGGCAGGCGGAAUUCCUAGUGUAGCGGUGAAAUGCGUAGAUAUGAGGAGGAACACCGGUGGCGAAGGCGGCCUGCUGGACGAGGACUGACGUUGAGGCUCGAAAGCGUGGGGAGCAAACAGGAUUAGAUACCCGGGUAGUC
rnacentral:rRNA from 1 species